UCUAUCAAACUCACAUGAACGCCCCUCACCAUUGUCCCACGCUAGCCCAGCCCUUUGCUCAAUCACUGCCUCAAAUACUACGGUUAAUGCCCCUAAAUGCCCUAUAUGGCCACGAUUUACAUCUCCGACCACCACCGCGGUGGUUACCUGCAAUGAAAGACCCGAAUCGAUGAGCCGAAGGCCUUUCCUCAAAAGCCAUGGUCGACUACGAUGACUCAAGUAGACUCGGGAAUCCUCACGUGAACUGACGAAUACUCUGCUGGAUCGUUGGGCUUAAAUUGGGCCUUCAAAUGGUUUGGGGUCGGGUUAGGUUACCAUUGCUUCGGGUCCGCUCCGAUUUAGCCCCGGACAAAUCGAGUAUCUACAAUAUUAAA